rnacentral:tRNA from 1 species
GCCGGAGUGGCGGAAUGGCAGACGCAGGGGACUUAAAAUCCUUUGCUCGAUGAGGGCGUGCGGGUUCGAAUCCCGCCUCCGGCACCA